AACGAACGCUGGCGGCAGGCCUAACACAUGCAAGUCGAACGGCAGCGCGGGGAGCUUGCUCCCUGGCGGCGAGUGGCGGACGGGUGAGUAACGCGUGGGAAUUUGCCCAGUAGUGGGGGACAACCCGAGGAAACUCGGGCUAAUACCGCAUACGCCCUACGGGGGAAAGCGGGGGAUCUUCGGACCUCGCGCUAUUGGAUGAGCCCGCGUCCGAUUAGCUUGUUGGUAGGGUAAUGGCCUACCAAGGCGACGAUCGGUAGCUGGUCUGAGAGGACGAUCAGCCACACUGGGACUGAGACACGGCCCAGACUCCUACGGGAGGCAGCAGUGGGGAAUAUUGGACAAUGGGCGAAAGCCUGAUCCAGCAAUGCCGCGUGUGUGAAGAAGGCCCUAGGGUUGUAAAACACUUUCAGUGGGGAAGAAAUGAGGAGCGCUAAUACCGCUCUACGAUGACGUUACCCACAGAAGAAGCACCGGCUAACUCCGUG
rnacentral:rRNA from 1 species